rnacentral:lncRNA from 1 species
GGUUGCUAGAGUUGAGAAUAAAAGGAACUGAAUGACCAACCAGUGUUAAACUUCUUCCAGUAUAAGAAGUGAAAUUGGAGAGGGGUGGGGUAGCAAGGGUUGAAGUCCACUACAAACUAUGAAGAAAUGACUAAGGCCAGGAGAAGCCAAGAGUGAGUCAUGAUAAAGUUGGGUAAGGUAACUUCAAAUGAGUUUGCUUGUUUCACAAUGAGGCAAGAAGGGGAAAUUGCCUGGAAGAAACAGUGUAGAGGAGCAAAUAGCUCUGUUCCAACUCUAGACUACAAGGCUUAGGGUUAUGGAGAGGAAAACUAUUACCUGUGCUUGAGUGGCUUGUGGGACAGAGAUUUCCUACACUUCUGGGAGUGCGGCCUGAUGUCUGAGAAGAUGGAGGGAAAUCCUCGUUGGCCUACCCACUGUAUCUUCAUGUCGGUGUUGAAUAUAGAGGCUCAAGGGACCCCGAGUACCUCAGAGGAAGCCAUCAGUCAUAGGGGUGCAGACACCCUCCUGUGUGCAUCUGUUUGUCGUGGCCCAGCAUGUCUCAGCCCCAAGCCACGGUUCGGCCUGACUGGGGGAGCGUGGACUUGGAAACUCCUAGCAACCCAAUGGCGAUAAAGACCAAACACAGGCAUCUUGUCAUCUUUAGAGGGCUCUCGGUUCCGUGCUGCAGAACUGGAGUCUUUUCUUUAUUCAGCAUCUCCCUGGCUGUUUCCUAACCAUGCUUUCCUGGCCACAAGGCCGUUUCUGUCUCCUCCAGUUAACCCCUCUGCUAGGUUGCUCCUAACGCUCUCUGUCCUCACUUGUCCUGCACGCCGUACCCAGUGCAGAGCAUGAACUCACUGAACAUGGCUGGAUGCUUUACUGUAGCUAUACACUUCGAACCACAAGGAUAAUAAGUAGUGCUUCUCUUCCUUGACUCUAUGCCCAGACGCCUGCAUCUGCUGUUCACUUAGACGGGGUAAGAAGCAAACCUUCUGAUUCUUGGCCUGAUUCAGGGCAUCUGAAAGGAGAAUUAGUCAUGGCUUUGUUCACGGUCUGAGAAUGUUCAGUCUUGUCCCACCUGCUUGUAGGAACUUGAACGCAACCAGUGUAUCUCACGUUUCCCAGCCCUGGCUGGCCAAAGAGCCUGACUUGUAACAGUCUUGACAAGGCCUGCUCUGCAUGGCUCAGUGACAUCACUUGGAAACUGGCUUCUUCCCUGGCGGAGCGAGUGAGGUGACAUUGCUGAAAGGCAAGAGGAAGUCGGAGCAGCUGCAGCCUGGCUUCUCCAGGGUGCACGUCUCAGCCUGUUCGCGCGCGCCUGUGCUGGAAGCUUAGCUGGAAGAAGACUAUUUUAAGCUGGAGAAACAGAACGGUCCAGGAGCCUGCUGUUGAGAGACUGCCUGUUAGGAUGCGAUGCCCUUGCCUGCAAUCGCUACAUGAACUCACAACCUGAACUUGUACAAUGAGGCCUCAGUAAGACUGGGAACGUGACCCACAACACAGUCCGUGCUUACGCUUUGAUGCUCCUUGUUUGGCUUCCUAAAUCGCUGGGCAAUGCAGACUCUUAUGUUUGCUCUUCUCUCUGGCCUUUGGGACCUUCCUUUUAUUUCUUCUUUUUAUUUCUUCUUCCACGUCAAAUCUUCUGGCCCCCAUAAGUCUCUCUGGACAUCCCAAACUUAGUCAGCUUCCCUCAUACAGCUUGUACAACUGUACAAGCUACCAGACUGGGAGCUGAUCUUCAGGCCCCAAGGAUCUGUGCCGUUUUCUUAAUUUGUAACUGAGGGUCUGCUCAAAAAAGUUAAUGAAUAAUAAAAAAAAAAAACCUGAGU